GUACACAGUUGACCUCACAGGCACCCUGAGCAUGAUGGGGUCCAAGUCUGUUCUCAGGCCCAACCGAAAUGUGGCAUCAGAGGGGAAGCCCCACAUGCGGACACUGCCCGAGCCCAGCCAGACGGGAGACCGCUUCCCGGAGCCUGCUGGUGUCCAAGUGCAGGUCCCUGUAGGCCCCUGUCGGCCCCUGUCUUCUUCCUAUGGCUUUGGAAGGCACGUUGAGCAACUGCCUAGUGCUAGGUGCUCUGGGAGAAAGAGAAGAGGCCCCUCCUAUUAAGCAAAAUGCUGGUUUCCACUUUCCCUGAUGGCCUUGGGUGCCUCGCCCCCGGGGCUCCUGUGCGAUGUGGGUCCCCAAGUAUAUGCACCUCGGGGCUCGCUGCAGGUUUGCAGCGUGGGGGCCCGCACAACCCUUCAGAGCCGCUGCGGAGCCCAGAGCAGGAAGCGUCUGUUGGAGCUGAAAGAACUCAAGGAGGAGCUCUGGCCACAAGUAAAACCCAUCGGGGAGCAGUUCUGGGGCUGGGGGCAUCCGUCUGGCCUCUGGGUGAGGUCCUCCGCCAUCGCUGAGAUGGUGUCAAACGUUCCUGGCGAGAGGCUGGGAGGCGGACUCGUGCUCUCGCUCACUUUCCCACGCGCUGUGGCCUCGCUGGUCCUUCCUCCGCCUCCUUGUUGCGGUGACGGGGCCUUACCCCCGAGAGUGCUGAUCGGUGGGAUGUUGCGGUCAGGCAACAGUAUGGUCUUGGGGUGCACAUCGGCAAACCUCGCAUAAAGUUGGAACUUUAUCCUCUCUGGUUGCUCAGAUCACGUUUCCCAGGAAAAUGCCCGUAACGUUGUGAGUGAGUCUGGUUUCGGCAGCCUCUUUGGGUGUGGUGUUGCCAUGGCGCAGGCUUUGCGAUGGUUGUGGAGGUGACAGGUGGAACAGGUCAAUAGCCCGGUGUAGAGAAAUGUUCAUGUCCGAGUCUAUGUCCUCAUUUGUUGAAAAUCUCCCUUUCCCUUCCUUGGUGGGGGUGAGUGCAGGGUGAGUAGGCGUGGCGCUGGAGGUGGCGUGUAAAGCGACUGUGAGUUUGGUUGGGUGGGUGGAGAUUGUAGCUGUUUCCAUCCAUUUUCUGUAACCUGUUCAUUUGUGUGUGUGUGUGUGUGUGUGUGUGUUUAUAUCUCCAAAAAUCAGAGAUAGAAGUCAGCUGUCUUCCUUCAUAGAUCUAUGGGCAUCCAGACGCUGUGAUGAUUGGGAAAACUUCCUCCUCUUGUCUUCCCAGGUUUGAGGAGCAGGGAGCAUGAGGGCACAGAUGAUGACACCUAUACCCUUGUUGGCUCUGGUUAUUAUCUUUUUAAGAUGAACCCAUUUGUUGUUUUGGGGGGUUAGGGUUAGGAUACAGGAACAUUUUAUUUUGAUUUCCGUGUUUGCUGUAAAAUUUUGAGCUGCCCAGAAAUUUUUCAUUGUCCCUUGCAGCAUGAAUUUCCAGAAUUUGUUUCAAUCUGAAUAUGACCUUAGCUAAUGUAUGGAUCCCGUCAACAGAUAGCUAUAGACCUUUUUUUUUUUUUUACGUUUUUUUACCUGUCAAAAUUUUAUUGUACAUUAAUUAUGUGUAUUUUUUAUAACUGUAUUCUUUGUGGUUAUGUGACAUGCAAUACUCUUUGCAGUAAUCUGGGAGAAAUUUACAUUAAAACCGAGUCCCACUCAUCCUAAUGCCUUCCUGUAUGUUUCCCUUUAUUCUUGUCCCACAACUAAAGUCCUAGAGUUCAAGCCCUCCUUUUUCUAAACCAAGAGAAUUAUUCAUAACAUAGUUUGAAGAAUAAUUAUUGUGUUGGUAUUUUUUUAAUCUCUUGAAUAAUCUUGAUUUAAGGGAAACUUUGAAAUAAUCCUUUCAGCAGGCACUUGUGUUAGACCUGAGGAAUCUGACCCUUUUAGAAAAUGGUUAUAUCAGGAUUCCCUCUGUUGAACAGCUCCCAAGUCAUGAUGAUGUGCAUAUGUUAGUGCUCUUCCAAUACAAGAGCCAUGGGAUCUCUUGCUAGCUAUGUUAGAUACUAAAGAAGGCUUCCCCACAAUCCAUAUGCAUCUGCUUUGACUGGUGGUUCUAUCAACCUACAAAGACUGUGACUUAUUGGUGAGGGCAGCUGGACAACUCUGAGAGCAACUUAGAGAAAUCCACCUUGGGCACACUCUGUAGAGGAACUCCUUCUCUGGAAAUAGCACCCCAGAUAAGUGCACAAAAGCAAGACACCCUCGUGGACCUACUUCCUCCCGCUUUCAACAGCCCGCUGCCUGAAGUGUGUAGAAUUUGACAGCAGUAUCGAGAGCUGAUGAGGAGGAGAAGAUGGAAAAGAGUCUAGCAACUUAAAAAUCUCAUAGCAUUCUCUGUGAGGUGACUUUUUCUGUUGGUGGCGCAAUUUAUUUAAGAUUUAAAGAAGAUACUAAGGCCUGUGAUAGUAUCAUCAUGUCAUAUCUGAGCUUAUUGAAAUGUUUCCUCCCUUUUCUUAUUCUUUAUAUCACAGUUUGCUUUUUGUAUUCUUAAGUUGACGUGUUUGUUUCCUAUUAGUACUUGAAACACCAUAUGGCCACCAUGAGUCCUACCAGAAUGACUUCUAACGAGGAGGGGGAAGGCCUGUGUUCCCACCUUCCUAUGAAAUUUUGGCCUAUUGACAAAACUACCCCCAUAGUUUUAAAGAGUAUCUAAGCUUUUAUUAAUUUUGGUAAGAGCAUUGCUAUAUCUUUUUGAUGUCACUUUUAUUGCUAAGAGGUGCUAGGCAUUUAUUAGCCUGUCACCUUAAGAUUUGUCUAAAUCAAAUCUACCCAAACAUAAUAUAAAUUAGAAACCUGUACUUGUAUUUUCUUAUUAAAAACCCCCACACACUUAAAUUUUACUAUUAAACUGAGAGUCCUUUAUAAUGAGUACAUAAAGUGAAUAUUAAAUAAUCAGUGGAGUAUGUUAAAAUUAACAUUUCUGUUCUUAUUUUUAGUGACUUAUUUCAUGGUGUGGUAAUUAUGGCCUGUCAGACCUCCCUGACAGGUUCUGAACGAAAAGUUUCCAGUCACUUAUGCUUAUUUGCUGCUACUCUUGUCUUCC